AAAAAGUUUUAAAGUCUAGAAGGACGGGGGUGGGGUACCGUAUAGCUUUUUAUAGUCUCAUCUCACCCCAAAACAUUUGAUAUCAUUGUUAAUGCAUUGAUUUAAGUAUUUUGAACUUGCUUUUGAAGUCUUAUAAUGGCUUGGAUUUUUUAAAUAUAGUUCUUUAAGCUAUUUCUCUCUCUCUCUCUCUCUCUCGACCAGGAUGAGGAUGACAAUUUGAAAUUAACAGAAGUUACUCGCUUACGAAAUACACUAGACGAUAUAAAGGGCCAUAUGAAAGAAUCGACAGAAAGUAUCCAAGAUGAUGAAGUCAAUAAAUUCACCAAGGAUAUUUCUGUUGAGGAUGAUCCUAUUAAUAUAAAACGAAGAGAUAUAGUAAAAGAUGUCAUGCUUCAUGCUUGGACAUCUUAUGAAAAGUAUGCAUGGGGAAAGGAUGAACUUAAGCCACAAUCUAGGAAUGGUGUUGACAGUUUUGGCGGUAUGGGGGCAACUUUAGUAGAUUCACUCGACACAUUAUUUAUAAUGGGUCUUGAUGUCCAAUUCAAA